UUGCGUACCUGACCUAGCGGCGGACGGGUGAGUAAUGCUUAGGAAUCUGCCUAUUAGUGGGGGACAACAUUCCGAAAGGAAUGCUAAUACCGCAUACGCCCUACGGGGGAAAGCAGGGGAUCUUCGGACCUUGCGCUAAUAGAUGAGCCUAAGUCGGAUUAGCUAGUUGGUGGGGUAAAGGCCUACCAAGGCGACGAUCUGUAGCGGGUCUGAGAGGAUGAUCCGCCACACUGGGACUGAGACACGGCCCAGACUCCUACGGGAGGCAGCAGUGGGGAAUAUUGGACAAUGGGCGGAAGCCUGAUCCAGCCAUGCCGCGUGUGUGAAGAAGGCCUUUUGGUUGUAAAGCACUUUAAGCGAGGAGGAGGCUCCUUUAGUUAAUACCUAAAGAGAGUGGACGUUACUCGCAGAAUAAGCACCGGCUAACUCUGUGCCAGCAGCCGCGGUAAUACAGAGGGUGCGAGCGUUAAUCGGAUUUACUGGGCGUAAAGCGUGCGUAGGCGGCUUUUUAAGUCGGAUGUGAAAUCCCUGAGCUUAACUUAGGAAUUGCAUUCGAUACUGGAAAGCUAGAGUAUGGGAGAGGAUGGUAGAAUUCCAGGUGUAGCGGUGAAAUGCGUAGAGAUCUGGAGGAAUACCGAUGGCGAAGGCAGCCAUCUGGCCUAAUACUGACGCUGAGGUACGAAAGCAUGGGGAGCAAACAGGAUUAGAUACCCUGGUAGUCCAUGCCGUAAACGAUGUCUACUAGCCGUU
rnacentral:rRNA from 1 species